UACGGAGGGGGCUAGCGUUGUUCGGCAUUACUGGGCGUAAAGCGCACGUAGGCGGCUUUGUAAGUUAGAGGUGAAAGCCCGGGGCUCAACUCCGGAACUGCCUUUAAGACUGCAUCGCUAGAAUUGUGGAGAGGUAAGUGGAAUUCCGAGUGUAGAGGUGAAAUUCGUAGAUAUUCGCAAGAACACCAGUGGCGAAGGCGGCUCACUGGCCCGGUACUGACGCUGAGGUGCGAAAGCGUGGGGAGCAAACAGG
rnacentral:rRNA from 1 species